GUGAGUUUUGGUUUGGUGUGGAUAUGCUCGUGUCAUAUUUUCAAAGGCAGUAGAGGAGAUUAACCGUGUCCAGCAUCAUCUUUGUCUCCGGGUUGAUCACAAUUCUCCAGACGACCUUUGGGAUUAGGUGAGUGAGUUUUGGUUUGGUGUGGAUAUGCUCGUGUCAUAUUUUCAAAGGCAGUAGAGGAGAUUAACCGUGUCCAGCAUCAUCUUUGUCCCCGGGUUGAUCAUAAUUAUCCAGACGACCUUUGGGAUUAGGUGAGUGAAGUUUUGGUUUGGUGUAGAUAAGCUUGUGUCAUAUAUCGGUAUUUUUAGACUCUUCCCCUUCUCGCACAAUUUCCAAACGCCAAAGAGGAGUUAAUCGUGUCCUGCAUCAUUUUCGUCUCCGGGUUGAUUAUUAUUCUCCUGACGACCUUU